rnacentral:lncRNA from 1 species
UCGUUUUUAUCGUUUCGUAUCGUAUCGUGUCUCCUGCUGAAAUAGUGCUGCUCUAUCAGAAAUACUAAAACCCUCGCUCUCUUCUUUUAAUCUCCCCUUCUCCUCGCCAACCCACCAACCAACCCAACCCUCUCUGCCCCUCUCUCUCCCUGAAUCACCAUGGCUACCAUUUCAAAGCUCUCAAAUCCAAGCCCCGCAGCCUCCCUCUCAGCUCCUUCUAGAUCUUCUUCCUUGCCUAAAGUCUUCCUCGGUUUCAGUACCAAAACUUCUCUCUCCAAAGUUAGGCUGUCCUUGAAGAACACCCAACCUUCCCCAGGACCUCCUUGGUGUAAGUAUUUUUACUUCAAUAUUUAUGUUCUCUUCAUGAUCUUUCCUUUUUCAUCUGGGUUUAUUUGGCGGUGAUCAUCCUAGCUUUCAUGUCUUUGCUUGGUUUCGCCUUCUGAUCUUUCUUUUUAUAUGCCGAUGAUCAACUUUUUGAUUUUUGGUUUUUUUAUGAAUACAUGACACAGUUCCUAGUUUCAUAUUUUUUUUAUACCUUGUUUAAUGCAUCUUCCAGGGAUCCGUCUCUUAUUUAAGCCAAGAAGUACUAUCAUGUACAAAGUGAUACUGGAACUGAUGCUUAAAUAAUACAUUGUCGAUAUGUUCUAAUAUUGCGAUAUGGAAUUUCUUUGUCUUCGAUCUGAUGCUUAAAUAAGAAAGGAUUGGGUUAUAUUGUAUUCAUGGCUGUUGCUGGUUAUUCAAUCUCUUUCCUUUUCUGUUUUGAUGAUUAUGGACCCUGCUCAGUUUCCAUUUAACGAGAUCUUAUCACAGUGUCAGGUGUUCUCAAUCCAGUGGAAAUGGUAGCCCAAUAAAGAGAACCACUCUUCAUGAUCUUUAUGAACGGGAGGGGCAGAGUCCAUGGUAUGACAACCUCUGCAGGCCUGUGACGGACCUGAUUCCUCUGAUCGAGAGUGGAGUUAGAGGCGUAACAAGCAACCCAGCGGUAAUAACCAUUAUCUUUUCUAUCAAUUUUUUUUGCAAAACUUGUGUAAACUGUAUUAAAAAAAUGACUUUCUUUGAAUUAAGCUAAAGAAAGUUCAGUGGAUGAGAUUGAAAAUAAAUGGCGGAAUUAAUAUGAAAGUGUGUCUUGAACACUUCUUGUGGUUUUUCUUCACUAGCCUUUGGUCCUGUAUAAUAAGCUGUUCAAAAUAUACGACUGCAGAUUUUCCAGAAGGCAAUAUCAUCUUCAAAUGCUUACAAUGACCAAUUCAGGUGAAUGCAAUCAGUUACAAGUAAUUGUUAUUAUUCAGAAUCAAUUAAUUGUUUGAUGGUGUCUGAUGUAUGUGAAAUUUAUUUGAUAUGCAAAGUGGGAAAACAAAAUGAAGUUCAUGUAUCUCUUCUGAGUCUCCCAAUUAUUACAGGCUCUUUUGGUUUGGAACUCGGAUGUUGGUUUUCGAGUCAGAAUUUUAAGAUUGUCAAGCUGAUCAUUGUAGUCUUCAUAUUUUUCUACUCUGAUUUUAUACUGUUGAUACCUUCAGGGAACUUGUGCAAUCAGGAAAAGACAUUGAGCGGGGCAUUCUUCCACUACUCCGGCGUGCUACUUUAGUUCAAACUUUUGGGCAGCGAAACCAUGUGUGCUUGAAUGAGGGCUCAAUUACAAUUCCUCCGUAUGCUCCUCCUCAAAAGAUGCAGGCCCACCAGAUUCCCCUUGACACUCCACGGUCAAUUUUUGCUUACUUCCGCGGAUUGUUUUGAUGUAAAUAAUGAUCCGGAAGGUGGUUAUUAUGCAAGGUAUGCUUGUGCUCAUCUUCCGAAAGGAAUGAAUUUCAAUACGCCUAACCUAAUAUAGUUUGUUUUAUAGUCAAGACCGGGAAACAAUACUCUCAUGGAAUAAUAGAUAACACAGUGUCUGAUCUUCUAUGUAAUGAAGUACAGAUUUUAUGAACUACGAUUAUUAAACAGCCAUGAAACCCUCUAGGACCCAAGUAGUAUCCCAUUUUUGCCUCAAAUCCUCCUGCGAGCUUACACUUUUUGUGAAUUUCAGAUUCAAGAGACCUUUUAAUUUCCUCUGAUAAUUAUGUGCUUUGAGACUUUAUAGUCUGUAUCUAAGAAUUUGUGGAUGAUCUUGCUGCGAAUCUGCUGGCUACGACAUCUUGUAUGGCUCCUGUGAGUCUGCUGGGCUUAUAUUAGUUAGUUAACCUUUUUGUUUGACUGACAGAGGAGCAAGAGCUGCAGUUUGGGAGAAUUUCAAAAACAAUCCACUCUUUGACAUCUCCACUGAUCAUCCAACAACAUAUUAUGAAGACAUGCAACGAGCUAUAUUUUGCUUGUGCCCACUCGGUUGGGCCCCAUGGAGUCCUAGACUGGUCGAAGCAGUGGUAUUCGGAUGCAUUCCUGUAAUUAUAGCAGAUGAUAUUGUUUUACCAUUUGCCGAUGCUAUCCCAUGGGAGGAGAUUGGAGUGUUUGUAGCAGAGGAAGAUGUCCCUCACCUGGACACAUUCCUGAUAUCUAUACCACCAGAAGUGAUUUUAAGGAAACAAAGGCUUCUUGCAAACCCUUCCAUGAAACGUGCAAUGUUAUUCCCACAACCUGCACAACCUGGUGGUGCUUUCCACCAAAUACUAAAUGGGUUGGCUCGUAAGUUGCCGCAUGACAGGACUGUCUUCUUGAAACCUGGUCAGAAGGUUUUGAAUUGGACAACAGGACCAGCCGGGGACCUGAAACCUGGGUAAGGGAAGUGUCUUUUUCUCAAGAGAGAUGGUUAUCUGCUGUUUCAUCUAACCCCGCGAGAGAAUCCAAGGAAUGUAAACUUCUCUUUGAAAUUUUGUAGAGUUAAUUCAAUUUUACAUGUACAUCUGGGACAUAGUUCGAUGCAUUAAAUAGCUUCAUAUUUUCCCGGACACACUUGAAUUUUCGUGUCAUUUUUAGUCUUUUUGUUAGGGCAUUGAUGAACGCUUCCCAGUUUCCAUCAGAGAAGUCAAAUAAACGAACUAAAGAAUCUGCGAUAAUUCAAGGGGUAUCUUGGAGUUUUGAGGAUUUUAUAGGAAAAGAAUCGAGAGAGAUCAACACCAUGUUUUAGCCUGUAUACAGAGCACCCAAUAACUGCUUCUCAACCAACUUUCCCGCCAAGGCUAACAGAACUAACUAAUUUGUCCACAUCAUCAUAACUAACUCUCCUGGACGUUUAUUUUGUACACCAGUUUCUAUUGAAAUAAUGGCCACACUAAGUUCAUCUCCUUUUGCAGUUAGCACCAUUUGAUCAACCGUUACUGUCUUGAGGAUCAGCCCUGCUUCCAUUGUCAGAGCACAAUCCACGUGGCAACAGCCUGUUAUCUUCAGCUUCAUUAAUAUUCCCACAGACAUAAGAACUUACAGCAGCUUCAAUGUUUGGGCUCAAGUCCGAACCCAACCAUUCAAUGGUGGGUUCGGGGCAGGGCCUUCAUGAGCCCACUAUACAUAUGGAUGGGCUUGGUCUAGCGCCCACCAAUCCGAGCUCUCGAGGGCACACAAAACGAAUUCAGCGACUAAAACAGAAACAAGAGGGGAACUCUGAUAUCAUCCAAACGACCAAAACAGUUGAGACUUGAGAGAGGAGAGGCUUGUUUUGCAAGAGAAUCAGCCACAGAAAAUCAACCUAACUGAAGAUAAUUAACAUCAUUGAAGAAUUUAUACAUUGUGGUGUCAUAUAUAUAUAUAUAUAUUUUUUUUUUUUUGAUGGGAUUUUUAAAGGAGCUGCCUAUAUAUAUAACGUGCAAGAACAGCAGUUUCAGAGCGCCUUCCGCUUUCCAGAAAUGCAAGAGAAGAGAAUUUAUUAAACAACUGGGUGAUCAGGUCUGAGGCUGCUGGGCCUUGAAUUACAGAGUAGCAUGGCUUCAUCCCAUCCCAUUAAAUUCUUCAUCCAGUUUCGGAGAUGGCUGAUAGGCAAACCACGGGUUCCGAGUUUCUUCGUUUGUUUAUUUUUAUACAGUCCGCAUUUGAGACAGCAACCAUAGCUGAUGCUUAAAAAAAAUAUACUCUCUCUCUCUCUCUCUCUCUCUCUCAAUAGUACGAAUAUUUCAAAAACUAAUGAAUAAAUAGUGGAUUUGCUAACUAAGCCAUUGUCUUCAGAGAAGUUUGGGUAUUUGAGAGUGGUUGGGGUAGCUUGUUUGCAUCAUUUUAGGAAGUUUUAGUAGUCCUCUCUUUAGGGGAUUGCUGCUAUUUGUAAGUGGAGUUAUGGCUUACUUUUCUUUCGUUGGAGAAAUUCGUUAUCUAUUCUUGUGUGUAUUUACGCAUAACAUGAGAUCUAUGAAAGGAGUACUUCCUGCAAAUUAUUUUGUUUUUCACUUUUUUUUCUUAGUUUUUUUUUUUGUUAAUCUUCACAUUUUAUACAUAACCCUGGUAAAGAAAAUCAAUAAGGUAUUUGAAAAUAUAAUAUUAAUUAUUUUUCAAAAUAUUUUCACUUGAAAAUUAAUUAAACAACUCCAUUGAAAUUAAAAAGCAAUACCAAACAAUGGUAGGUUUCCAACUACCAAGUUAAGCUAGGAUAUCGAGAGAAACCCAUCCUAACGCUAUUCAUCUGUGUUUGAUUUGAGAUUAAAAAUUGGAAGAUAUAUGCUAGAGUUAAGUGUUAAAGGACGAAGAGUUUAAAAAUGUGAUUGGAUAUUGAUAUAAUGCUAAGGAUAUGGGAUGGAUAUUUUAAAAUUAUUCGUAAUGGCGAUCCAAUAAUUUUCAUACCAAUAUUAAAUAAAAUAUAAUAAUUAAAUAGCAAAUAAAAUGACAUGGUGAUACCAGAAAGUUUUAUGAUACCAUGUUCACUUUGAAAAAAUAUAUAUAUAGAAAUCAAAUUUAUAACCCAUAAAGAAUAAUAAUCUAUCUAGGCUUUUCCUUUCAUUAAGUUGUCAGGGUAAUGUUUUACGGAUAAUUUUAUUUUGUUUUAUAAUAUAUUUCUCAAGUGUUAUAAACAUUAUUAAUAUACUAUAAUCUCGAGUUAAAAUAUUUAAUUUAAUGAGUAAAAAUCAAAUUCAGACUGUUAGAUUAUUUAAAUUAUAAUGUUAUUGUAAAAGUAUUUUAAAUUUAUAAAUUUAAAAUUAUAAAUGACACCUUAAAGAUAAUUUUAUAUCUAUAUUUUUUUAAAAAAAAACAUAAAGACCAACUAAAAUAAGAAGUUGCUUUCGGAUACAGCAGUCUUAUACCCAUUUUGACCUCAACAACCCACGAAGGGACAAGAACUUCCAGUGCCAUGGUUAUCGACUUGUCUUUCUCAAAUCUUGGAGGAGGCAGUGAUCCUGGCCAGAAAAGAAAAGAAAACAAUAAAUACAAAACCUGGGUGCGGUAUCGUUGUCUUUUCUUCGAAUUGGAGCUACCAUGUGAUGUGACUUCUUCCAGUUUAACAUAAUAAACACAGUUGCUUAGCUCAUUAAUUAUCAGUAGAAAAUGCAUGAUCGAACUGUGAGAGAAUAAUAUCUGCAAUAUUGCAUCUCCGAAGAAAAUAGUUUUUUCUGUAUUAUUUACUCGGUUUUGAUCAUCCAGUUGUGAUCAGGGGAGGGGGGUUACAUGCUCCCUUUCUCGUCAGCAAUAACUGAUCUUACAGCUAACGACCCUCUUCAAUGGUUUCCGAAGCAAGCAAGGAAUGGUGGACAAUAUCCUUUGAGCUAUAACAAUGGUCAGAUUAGAAAGGUUAAGUAACUUUUCUAAGCUGAAGAGGACAGGCCAAGUUGAGGGUAGUUGUCCCACCAUCCUAUCUUGACCCUAACUACAAACAAUGAUCAAAAUAAUGGGAUUAUGGUUUCACCUACCAUCACACCGCAUAAAUAAUCUCUGUCAAUAAUCUCUGUCAAUAAUGGGAUGCUUAAAUCUUAAAAAACUAAUUUAAUUCUAUCACUGACAAGUAACAAAAUCUGGGGGUAGAUGAAAGAAGUCGCAAAGUUUUUGUUCGCGUGUUGGCUGCCUGGUGUUACCCCCCCAAAAAAAAAAACAGAGUGCCAAUUGACCUCUUGGUUGAAUAGGCGUUAGCUCACACAUCUGCUUCUCGGUUCCAACUAUUAAUGACAAUAAUAUUAGUGUUGUAUUAGAUAAUUAGUUAGUGCUUUGUUUGAGAAGACAUCCUAAAAAUUAUUUUUUAUAUUUUUGAAUUGUUUUUAUAUAUUAAUAUAAAAAUAAUUUUUUUUAAAAUAAAAAUAUUAUUUUAAUAUAAUUUCUAGUAAAAUAAAUAUUAAAAAAUAAUCAUUACUGUACUUUUAAAAAUCACCUGAAUAUUUUCAACUUGGCCUCUCCCUACAAAUAAGAUUAAAAACAAUUGAAUUUGAAUUGUUGUAUAACUUAAGAUACAAAAGCAUAACUUUAGUUGCUACCUAAUAAGCAAACGAACUGUCAUUUGAUAUCUAUGUAGAUUGUCUUAAGAAAAAAAAUACUUCUAACUAAGAAAAAUAUGUCCAGGAAAGCAAAAUUCUAAUGAUUUGAGCUGGGUUCGAUUUCCACACCGCCACCACCACUCCCUCGACUCCCAGAUUUGAAAAAAAAAAAAUCAGAAUUCCGCAAAAAAAAAAAAAAUUCAGCAAAAACAAAUACCUCAGAUCUCAAGAGGCAGCACCACCAAAGUUCGAAGACGGAAAGUACUGUUAGACUUCACCAAUAACUAUAUGAUGACAACAAAAUGAGAAAUAGCGACGUCAGUACACUGUUUUCUUCCCACCUGCCCCGUCAAAUGAGAGACAAAAAGACGGUCAUCCAAUUUCCCAUCGUUUUUAUCGUUUCGUAUCGUAUCGUAUCGUGUCUCCUGCUGAAAUAGUACUGCUCUAUCAGACAUACUAAAACCCUCGCUCUCUUCUUUUAAUCUCCCCUUCUCCUCGCCAACCCACCAACCAACCCAACCCUCUCUGCCCCUCUCUCUCCCUGAAUCACCAUGGCUACCAUUUCAAAGCUCUCAAAUCCAAGCCCCGCAGCCUCCCUCUCAGCUCCUUCUAGAUCUUCUUCCUUGCCUAAAGUCUUCCUCGGUUUCAGUGCCAAAACUUCUCUCUCCAAAGUUAGGCUGUCCUUGAAGAACACCCAACCUUCCCCCAGGACCUCCUUGGUGU